AGUGAACGCUGGCGGUAGGCCUAACACAUGCAAGUCGAACGGCAGCACAGUAAGAGCUUGCUCUUACGGGUGGCGAGUGGCGGACGGGUGAGGAAUACAUCGGAAUCUACUUUUUCGUGGGGGAUAACGUAGGGAAACUUACGCUAAUACCGCAUACGACCUACGGGUGAAAGCAGGGGAUCUUCGGACCUUGCGCGAAUGAAUGAGCCGAUGUCGGAUUAGCUAGUUGGCGGGGUAAAGGCCCACCAAGGCGGCGAUCCGUAGCUGGUCUGAGAGGAUGAUCAGCCACACUGGAACUGAGACACGGUCCAGACUACUACGGGAGGCACCAGUGGGGAAUGUUGGACAAUGGGGGCAAGCCUGAUCCAGCCAUACCGCGUGGGUGAAGAAGGCCUUCGGGUUGUAAAGCCCUUUUGUUGGGAAAGAAACGCAGCAGGUUAAUACCCCGCUGUUCUGACGGUACCCAAAGAAUAAGCACCGGCUAACUUCGUG
rnacentral:rRNA from 1 species